rnacentral:rRNA from 1 species
CUACGGGUGGCUGCAGUGGGGAAUAUUGCACAAUGGGGGAAACCCCGAUGCAGCAACGCCGCGUGGAGGAUGACACAUUUCGGUGCGUAAACUCCUUUUAUAGGUCAUGAUAAUGACGGUAGCCUAUGAAUAAGCGCCGGCUAACUCCGUGCCAGCAGCCGCGGUAAUACGGAGGGCGCAAGCGUUACUCGGAAUCACUGGGCGUAAAGAGCAUGUAGGCGGGUUAAUAAGUCAGAAGUGAAAUCCAAUAGCUCAACUAUUGAACUGCUUUUGAAACUGUUAACCUAGAGUGUGGGAGAGGUAGAUGGAAUUUCUGGUGUAGGGGUAAGAUCCGUAGAGAUCAGAAGGAAUACCGAUUGCGAAGGCGAUCUACUGGAACAUUACUGACGCUGAGAUGCGAAAGCGUGGGGAGCAAACAGGAUUAGAUACCCUGGUAGUC